rnacentral:rRNA from 1 species
AUGAAACCAACCACUGCACCCACCAUCCCAAUCAUCGCAACAGCAGCCGAGAAGAGCAGAGCAAUCUUCUUCUUUGAUCUCUCCACAAUGGCAAAGAUCCAGCCCUUUCCUUCCUCUCCCUGCUCUACUUCUUCCCCCGGAGUUCAACAGGGCAGGCACGCGUACACGGUGUGGAUGAAGUCGCUGGUGUUCAACGGCAACGGCUGCGCGGUGUACGGCCCCGACGGCGCCGUCGCCUUCCGCGUCGACAACUACGGCAGCAGGGGCGGCCGCGAGGGCGUCGGCAUGUUCAGGAGGUGGGAGGUCUCCCGCUGCGCCAAAGACGGCGGCCAGGACGAGGAGGCGACACAGUGGUUCAGCGUGCGCCGGGCCGAAAAGGGCGAGGCCGCGGUGGCGAUGCACGGCGGCGCGGGGACGUGCUACACGAUAGAAGGAUGCUGCGCGCGCAAGCCGGAGUACAAAAUCCGGGACGUGGAUAGCACGGUGGUGGCGGAGGUGGCACGGAAGCAGACGGCGGCGGGUGUGGUGCUGGGGGAGGACGUGCUGACGCUGACGGUGGGACCAAAGGUGGACCACCUGCUCGUGUUGGGCUUGGUCGUCGUACGUGGCCUCAUGAACCGUUCCUUGUGA